ACUUGGUAUUGGAUUGAAAAAUAAAAUCAAUAAUAUCGUCCAUUCCUACUCUGAUGGCAAACUGAGCCUUGCUGCUCCCUCUUUCUGAUUGGUCAGCUCCCCCCACCCUGCUCCCCACCUCUCAUUUUCUCUCAUUCUCCCUCUCUCUCUCUCUCUCUCUCUCUCUCUCUCUCUCUCUCUCUCUCUCUCUGCUUAAAUACUUUUAACAAAAAGGACUGAAGGAGGAGGGAGAGGGGGAUGGGAAUGAUGGGGGAAGGGAAUUGUGUUUGAGUGUAUGUGUGUGUUGUCACUAGAGAGAGCGAUAGAGAGGGAGAGAGUAGAGUGGUGUUUAGUCCGUACGUGGAAAAACAUAGUCGUGCAUGCACAGACUAGCGGGGAUUAUCUAUCUGUUCUAAAUCUGAUAGAGAAAUGCAGGCAUGAAUAGGUGUCUCUUUAUACACUCUCAUGAUCACUGUAUCAAGGUUUGAAGAAGUGUGCAUUUGUGUUUCUGGAGUUGGGAAAACAGGACAGUGUCAGUGCUCAUUCUUCUGAGCUUUCUCACACGUCUGAGAAAAUGUACAAAUGUCAAAAUUAAGUCUACAAUUUGCAAAAUGCAUGGAUCUUUUUAGUGGUAUUUGCUUUCUUCAAGGUUUUCACUUUACAUUUUCAAUGCAAAUUAAGUUUAAUAAUAAUAAUAAUAAUAAUAAUAAUAAUAAUAAUAAUAAUAAUAAAAUGCAAGAUGUUGUAACCAACAAAUCACCAAUUCUAAGUAAAGAUUUGUCUAUAUUUUUGAGUUCAUUGAUAAAGAGUACUUUAUGAUAGAAACAGUAUUGAAUGUUUUCAAUACUGUUGAAUGUCAGAGGAAGUGUGUGUUGUCCUGCAUGGUGUGUCAGAGCGGAGCGAGUGGCUUCCAGAGCACCGUGAGAAGCCACAUUGUUUGACUGGCAUGAUUAUGUAAUAUUUUUCAUUCAUGUGUUAGCUCCUCUGUGCUCUCACUUGAAAGGGAAUGGCAUUCCUCUCUGAGAUCCUCAGCACCGAGCUGCUUGAAUCUAGCGUUUCAGAAAACUAGUGGUUUAGACCACAGUGAUUUAAACUGUUAGGUGUGUCACAAUUACUAUGUAAUUAUUGUUAAAUGAUUGUUCAACUAUUUGAGGUAGUUGUGAUUUAAUCAUUAAUAUUUCCAAAUUCAUACAUUUCCAGAUCAAUAAAAUGUUUAAUUCCUGAUUUUUUUCAUUCUUGAUUUAUUAUUCAUUUAUAAACUAUAUAUAUAUAUAUAUAUAUAUAU
ensembl:lncRNA